rnacentral:rRNA from 1 species
CCUACGGGCGGCUGCAGUGGGGAAUAUUGGACAAUGGGCGAAAGCCUGAUCCAGCCAUGCCGCGUGUGUGAAGAAGGCCUUCGGGUUGUAAAGCACUUUCAGUGGGGAAGAAAGCCUUGGGGCUAAUACCCUCGAGGAAGGACAUCACCCACAGAAGAAGCACCGGCUAACUCCGUGCCAGCAGCCGCGGUAAUACGGAGGGUGCGAGCGUUAAUCGGAAUUACUGGGCGUAAAGCGCGCGUAGGCGGUCUGAUAAGCCGGUUGUGAAAGCCCCGGGCUCAACCUGGGAACGGCAUCCGGAACUGUCAGGCUAGAGUGCAGGAGAGGAAGGUAGAAUUCCCUGUGUAGCGGUGAAAUGCGUAGAGAUCGGGAGGAAUACCAGUGGCGAAGGCGGCCUUCUGGACUGACACUGACGCUGAGGUGCGAAAGCGUGGGGAGCAAACAGGAUUAGAUACCCCGGUAGUC